GACAGAGGGUGCAAACGUUGUUCGGAAUUACUGGGCGUAAAGCGCGUGUAGGCGGUUCGGAAAGUCGGAUGUGAAAGCCCUGGGCUCAACCCAGGAAGUGCACUCGAAACUUCCGAACUUGAGUUCUGGAGAGGAAGGCGGAAUUCUUGGUGUAGAGGUGAAAUUCGUAGAUAUCAGGAAGAACACCGGUGGCGAAGGCGGCCUUCUGGACAGAAACUGACGCUGAGACGCGAAAGCGUGGGGAGCAAACAGG
rnacentral:rRNA from 1 species